AGACUCCGCUUGAUCCUGGCGGACCCAACUGCUAUCGGGAUGAGACUAAGCCAUGCGAGUCGCACGCUUCCUAGCCACGGUGGGAGCGUGGCGUACGGCUCAGUAACAUGUGGCUAACCUACCCUCAGGACUGGGACA
rnacentral:rRNA from 1 species